UGGGAUGAAUUCGAGGUGCGUUGAAUGUUUCACGACGAUUCAGAUCAUAAUUUUCCAAGACGAUUCUUCAGUGCGUGCACCUGUUUACCCUCCUCUGUCAAGAACAUACUCGGAUGCAUGUAACGAAUAUUUCUUCAGCAAAUUCAGAACAUGCGGAUACUGGAUUAAUUUUUUAAUUUCAUCCUCUCUCGAACGUUUCAUUUUCCUCCUACCAGUCCAUCCAUUUUGCUGACAAUCCCGCUGGAGGCUUCGGCUACAAUCAACGAAGAAAGAGAGGGAAUAACAAGGUAGGGAAAAGGAAACUUUGCCCUCUUUACUAUUGUAUGAUUUCCGUAUCCGAAAUCAUUUUUCCAAUUGUUUAGCACUUCCCCUCCAAGUACAAGCCUUUAUGGUCAGCGGCAACGACGGUCUCAUCCUGUGCCAAAUCAUAUUUAUGGUGGGUACUCUGCUUUUCCGCCGGGCACAUACCCAGAUGUGAUUCGAAGCUUUCAAACCGUGGACAGGGACGGGAUUGGAUGUGUCGAUGAGAAGGAGUUCCCGCAGGCACCCUCUUCCCAAUAUCAGGGGUUUUGCCUCAGCACUAUUAGGUUGCUUAUGUUUCCCUUUCAGAAUCCCAGUGAUUCUGUUCGGAUUGUUGGUCGAAGAACCUAAACAAUCUUUCAACUAUAUGUAUUUUGUCCUCUUCAGUCUGGAAUUUUGUUGUCAAGACACUGCCAGUCAAACAAUAGAGCUCAUCAAGUAAUAGAUGGAGUUUAACGGCAGUCGAAUGGGGAACUUUCUCCUCUUCCUUUUGGUUACAGUCGUGUGGUUGAAGCUGCUUCAAUUGCUCAGAAAUCGAUUAUACAGCACUGUGACAUUGCGUUAAGGGAGAGAAGAAGCAUCACAAUAACAAGGUUGAUGUUUAUAGCUUUGGGAUUGUCUUGCGGAAGCUGUUUACUAACUGCAUGCCAUUUGAAGGCAUAUACAAUUUACAGGCUGCAUAUGCUGCUGCUUUCAAGGAGUUGGCAGGCAUAUCGAUUAGAGUCUCUGUGCUGGGAUCUAAACCUAGACAGCAAGAGAACCAUGGUACCAUUCUCAAUCACUCAGUUGCAUUAUACGUGCGUCUAAUGCUUUUAUAUAUUUUGUUGUAAUGAUCUCCUCAGCUUGCUCCUCCAUUUUCUCCUCAUAUUAAGCAAUCAUUCACAAAAUCACUGCCACUAUUGAAGAACAAUAGCUGAAGAAAAUUGUACAUUCCCUUCUGCAUUAUGGAGGAAGAAAGAUCAAACUAAAUGAAGACCAAAAAAAACAAAACAGAACGAGAGAAUGGACGCAAACAAUAAUGCUACUACAUCCAACGGAGAGUUAAUUCAAUGCCAAGAUAUUUCCACGAAGACAGCCUCCAAUGGAGGAAUGAUUUAAGGGUUCAUCUUGGCCGUUAUUUUAAGCAAUGUUGUGCAUCACUAUCUCAACUCUCAAGUCUCUUUCACAACUGAACAUGGAGCAUUCCUGAGAACCUGUUGCAAAAAGAGUACUAGCAUCAACGGGAACAAGUCCUACUGUGCAACAAUUGAUAGUUUAUCUAUUGUGCAAAUAAAUAGGUAAUGUUUAGUUCCAAAAAAAUAGGUUUGUUCAAUAUUUUUUUCUUAUGAUAUGGGGUUGUAUGGUUUGAAACUAGAUUUAUUUAGUGCCAACCAAUGAUUGGCUUUUUUCAAAAA